rnacentral:rRNA from 2 species
GCUCAGGAUGAACGCUGGCGGCGUGCCUAAUACAUGCAAGUCGAGCGAACUGAUUAGAAGCUUGCUUCUAUGACGUUAGCGGCGGACGGGUGAGUAACACGUGGGCAACCUGCCUGUAAGACUGGGAUAACUUCGGGAAACCGAAGCUAAUACCGGAUAGGAUCUUCUCCUUCAUGGGAGAUGAUUGAAAGAUGGUUUCGGCUAUCACUUACAGAUGGGCCCGCGGUGCAUUAGCUAGUUGGUGAGGUAACGGCUCACCAAGGCAACGAUGCAUAGCCGACCUGAGAGGGUGAUCGGCCACACUGGGACUGAGACACGGCCCAGACUCCUACGGGAGGCAGCAGUAGGGAAUCUUCCGCAAUGGACGAAAGUCUGACGGAGCAACGCCGCGUGAGUGAUGAAGGCUUUCGGGUCGUAAAACUCUGUUGUUAGGGAAGAACAAGUACGAGAGUAACUGCUCGUACCUUGACGGUACCUAACCAGAAAGCCACGGCUAACUACGUGCCAG